GACGAACCGUCCUAACGUUGUUCGGAAUCACUGGGCUUAAAGGGCGCGUAGGCGGACCAGCAAGUCCGGGGUGAAAUCUUUCGGCUUAACCGGAAAACAGCCUUGGAUACUGCUGGUCUCGAGGGAGGCAGGGGCCUGUGGAACUUCCGGUGGAGCGGUGAAAUGCGUUGAUAUCGGAAGGAACGCCGGUGGCGAAGGCGGCUCGCUGGGCCACACCUGACGCUGAGACGCGAAAGCUAGGGGAGCGAACAGG
rnacentral:rRNA from 1 species